UACGAAGGGGGCUAGCGUUGCUCGGAAUCACUGGGCGUAAAGCGCACGUAGGCGGCUUCUUAAGUCAGGGGUGAAAUCCUGGAGCUCAACUCCAGAACUGCCUUUGAUACUGAGGAGCUUGAGUCCGGGAGAGGUGGAGUGGAACUGCGAGUGUAGAGGUGAAAUUCGUAGAUAUUCGCAAGAACACCAGUGGCGAAGGCGGCUCACUGGCCCGGUACG
rnacentral:rRNA from 1 species